GGCAUCGGAGAUGAAAAACAGCCCGUCGGGUAGUCAUGGGCGUGCGGGAGCCCGCAUCAGUAACCUGCCUCCUCGGUUGUCCCUUCUUUGCAUGGUCGUC
rfam:Atopobium deltae strain DNF00019 genomic scaffold Scaffold11, whole genome shotgun sequence.